rnacentral:rRNA from 1 species
AUUGAACGCUGGCGGCAGGCCUAACACAUGCAAGUCGGACGGUAGCACAGAGAGCUUGCUCUUGGGUGACGAGUGGCGGACGGGUGAGUAAUGUCUGGGAUCUGCCCGAUAGAGGGGGAUAACCACUGGAAACGGUGGCUAAUACCGCAUAACGUCGAAAGACCAAAGAGGGGGACCUUCGGGCCUCUCACUAUCGGAUGAACCCAGAUGGGAUUAGCUAGUAGGCGGGGUAAUGGCCCACCUAGGCGACGAUCCCUAGCUGGUCUGAGAGGAUGACCAGCCACACUGGAACUGAGACACGGUCCAGACUCCUACGGGAGGCAGCAGUGGGGAAUAUUGCACAAUGGGCGCAAGCCUGAUGCAGCCAUGCCGCGUGUAUGAAGAAGGCCUUCGGGUUGUAAAGUACUUUCAGCGGGGAGGAAGGCGAUGCGGUUAAUAACCGCGUCGAUUGACGUUACCCGCAGAAGAAGCACCGGCUAACUCCGUGCCAGCCGCCGCAGUAA